rnacentral:rRNA from 1 species
UACGUAGGGUACGAGCGUUGUCCGGAAUUACUGGGAGUAAAGAGCUCGUAGGUGGUUUGUCGCGUCAUCUGUGAAAUUCCGGGGCUUAACUUCGGGCGUGCAGGCGAUACGGGCAAUACUUGAGUGCUGUAGGGGAGACUGGAAUUCCUGGUGUAGCGGUGGAAUGCGCAGAUAUCAGGAGGAACACCGAUGGCGAAGGCAGGUCUCUGGGCAGUAACUGACGCUGAGGAGCGAAAGCAUGGGUAGCGAACAGGAUUAGA